GACAGAGGGUGCAAACGUUGUUCGGAAUUACUGGGCGUAAAGCGAGUGUAGGCGGUUUCGUAAGUCGGAUGUGAAAGCCCCGGGCUCAACCCGGGAAGUGCACUCGAUACUGCGAGGCUAGAGUAUCGGAGAGGUUGGUGGAAUUCUCGGUGUAGAGGUGAAAUUCGUAGAUAUCGAGAGGAACACCGGUGGCGAAGGCGGCCAACUGGACGAAUACUGACGCUGAGGAGCGAAAGCCAGGGGAGCAAACGGG
rnacentral:rRNA from 1 species